GACGAACGCUGACGGUGUGCUUUAGACAUGCAAGUCGAACGAGAAAGCCCUUCGGGUUAGUAAAGUGGCGAACGGGUGAGUAACACGUGGGCAAUCUGCCCCUCGCAGGGGGACAACCGGAGGAAACUCCGGCUAAUACCCCGUAAGUUCAAAGGGAGGCAUCUCUCUUCGAAGAAAGGUAGCUUCGGCCAUCCGGCGAGGGAUGAGCCCGCGGUGCAUUAGCUAGUUGGUGGGGUAACGGCCUACCAAGGCGACGAUGCAUAGCUGGUCUGAGAGGAUGAUCAGCCACACUGGGACUGAGACACGGCCCAGACUCCUACGGGAGGCAGCAGUCGGGAAUCUUGCGCAAUGGGCGAAAGCCUGACGCAGCAACACCGUGUGUGUGAGGAAGGCCCUCGGGU
rnacentral:rRNA from 1 species